AUCCACUCCCAAUCAGGUUAAACAAAAUGAGAAGUGGUAGAACUGCUAGCCUCUGCCGUGUCCGUGUGGCUGCUCUACUCAGCAUCUGUGUGAUUCAGAAGACAAAGAUGGUCUAUAUUUGGGUAACAGCUUAGGCAAAGAAAGUGUUUCAAUCUGUUUGGGCCAAGGUUCCCCCAAAAGCAGAACUUGAGACAAAGCUCACAUGGUUUCCCUUGUGGCUCAGUGAUAAAGAAUCCACCUUCCGGUGGAGGAGACGCAGGUUCCAUUCCUGGUCCAGGAAGAUCCCAGAUGCCAUGGGGCAACUGUUGCACCUGAGUGAUCUAGAGACUGUGCUCCGCAACAAGAGAAGCUGGCUCGGUGAGAAGCCUGCAUACUGCAACUGGAGAGUGACCCCUGAUCGCCGAAACUAGAGAAAAACUAGCCGUGAAGACCCAGCACAGCCAAAACUAACUUUUUUUUUAAAGAGAAGAACAUCCCACUGUCCCAAAAAACUUGUCAACUGAAGUUAGGCUGGAGGGACACAAGAUUUCAAAUGUCUUUUAAUGUCAUUCUAAUGUUCUCUUUAAGGAAGCACCAUUAGGCUGGUGGCUUUGGGGUCAUUUGGACUGGUUUCAGAUUUU
ensembl:lncRNA